UGGUAGUUAUGGACAACCAUGCAUCACGGGCUAUCGGGGAUAGGGUCGAUUCCGGAGAGGGAGCUGAUAAACGGCUACCACUUCUACGGAAGGCAGCAGGCGCGAAAAUUAUCCAAUCCUGAUUCAGGGAGGUAGUGAAAGAAAUAAUGAACUAGGAUUUAUCCUGGGAUCACAAUGGGCUUGAUUUGCAAACACUUAGCGAGGAACAAUUGGAGGGCAAGUCUGGUGCCAGCAGCCGCGGUAAUUCCAGCUCCAAUAGAGUAUAUAAACGUUCCUGCAGUUAUUCGAUGCUCGUAGUUGGAUUUCUGAGGUUGAGACGGGAGGGUGGCUAUGGCCAUCGCCCGACUCUUUCCUCAUCCACCUGUUUGCGAAGUCCGGGAUUGAUUUCUCGGCUUCGGGCGCAGUAUCUUACCAUUUCAAUAUUCGUAGUCUUCAUCGAUUAUGUUGUUUCUUUGAGCAAAUUAUAGUGUUUCAGGCAGGCGUGCGCCGGAAUACAUUAGCAUGGUAUAAACGAAUUGGACCGUGUGCCCGUAACUGGGCUUCUCCUUAUUGUUGGUUUGAAGGACACGGAGAUGGUUAAUAGGGACAGCGUUUAUUUCACAAGGAGGCAUUAGUAUUUAAUUUCCAGAGGUGAAAUUCUUUGAAAUAUUAAAGACUAACUUAUGCGAAAGCAUCGUUUGCCAAUGAUGUUUUCAUUAAUCAUUGAACGAAAGUUAGGGGAUCAAAGACGAUCAGA
rnacentral:rRNA from 1 species